rnacentral:rRNA from 1 species
UACGUAGGGGGCGAGCGUUGUCCGGAAUCAUUGGGCGUAAAGAGCGUGUAGGCGGCCCGGUAAGUCCGCUGUGAAAGUCGGGGGCUCAACCCUCGAAAGCCGGUGGAUACUGUCGGGCUAGAGUGCGGAAGAGGCGAGUGGAAUUCCUGGUGUAGCGGUGAAAUGCGCAGAUAUCAGGAAGAACACCCGUGGCGAAGGCGGCUCUCUGGUACGUGACUGACGCUGAGACGCGAAAGCGUGGGGAGCGAACAGG